rnacentral:lncRNA from 1 species
AUCCGCUACCUCGCGGCGUGGUCACCUCCAGCGACCGAUCCCCGUCGAGAACCUCCGGUUCAGCCACCGGCAUUUCGAAUCCGGCACACUUCCGGUCAACAGUGUCCGGCGUGUCGGGACCGUCGAAUGUAGGGCUGACCGGGGGCUGAGAACCCGGCGACUGAGUCGGAGAUUGAAAUCCGACGGAGACGUCGAACUUAUCGAGAGGGUAAGAGAAAGGAGAGAGCGUCUGCGCCUGCAUAGUUGCUAUGGGACGGGAAAAGCGGCGGCAGAGACGAGCAAGAAAUGGAGGGAGGAGAAACGAUGGACCUGAGUCAAGGUAUCAAGUUGGGUGAGUCACACCGUCCGAGUGAGGUGCGGGGGAGAGAAAUAAGGGAGAACCAGAGAUCGAGGAUGGUGGGCAGUUUUAUAGUUGUUUGGUUUUCCCGGGAAACCCAUC